UACAGAGGGGGCAAGCGUUGUUCGGAAUUACUGGGCGUAAAGGGCGCGUAGGCGGCCGCCUAAGUCAGACGUGAAAUCCCUCGGCUCAACCGGGGAACUGCGUCCGAGACUGGGAGGCUUGAAUCCGGGAGAGGGAUGCGGAAUUCCAGGUGUAGCGGUGAAAUGCGUAGAUAUCUGGAGGAACACCGGUGGCGAAGGCGGCAUCCUGGACCGGGAUUGACACUGAGGCGCGAAAGCCAGGGGAGCAAACGGG
rnacentral:rRNA from 1 species